UUAAGUUCAGCGGGUAUUCCUACCUGAUCCGAGGUCAACCUUGAGUUAAAGAUGGUCUUUAACGGCAGGAGCACCGCACAACACCCUAAGCGAGAUAAUGAAUUACUACGCUCGGAGUUGUAGCGAGCCCGCCACUUCCUUUCGGGGCCUACGGCAGCCGUAGGGCCCCAACACCAAGCAGGGCUUGAGGGUUGAAAUGA
rnacentral:misc_RNA from 1 species